GAUGAACGCUAGCGGCAGGCUUAAUACAUGCAAGUUGAGGGGCAGCAUGAUAUACGCGAGUAUAUUGAUGGCGACCGGCGGACGGGUGAGUAAUAGGUAGGAGACCUACCUCAUACAGGGGGAUAGCAUAGAGAAAUCUGUGGUAAUACCCCAUGAGGUUAUAUGAAUAGAGGCAUAUAAUCAAAGCAUAAGUGAUUAUGCGGUAUGAGAGGGGCCUACUGACCAUUAGCUAGUUGGUGAGGUAAGGGCUCACCAAGGCGAAGAUGGUUAGGGGUUUUGAGAGAGAGACCCCCCACACUGGUACUGAGACACGGACCAGACUCCUACGGGAGGCAGCAGUGAGGAAUAUUGGUCAAUGGGCGGAAGCCUGAACCAGCCAUGCCGCGUGCAGGAUGACGGCCCUACGGGUUGUAAACUGCUUUUCCCCGGGGCGAAUAACCCCCUCGCGAGGGGGGAUGGCCGGUACCGGGGAAUAAGGAUCGGCUAACUCCGUGCCAGCACG
rnacentral:rRNA from 1 species